rnacentral:rRNA from 1 species
CGCAUCUGUGCAUGCAGCAUAUCAAUAAGCGGAGGAAAAGAAACUAACAAGGAUUCCCCUAGUAACGGCGAGUGAAGCGGGAAGAGCUCAAAUUUGAAAUCUUAAAGGGUUUCCCUUUACGAAUUGUAGUUUAAAGAAGUGUUUUCUGUUGAGGUUUUGGUAAAAGUUCUUUGGAAUAGGACAUCAUAGAGGGUGAGAAUCCCGUAUUUGACCUUUACUUUCAACUUUGUGAUACACUUUCAAAGAGUCGGAUUGUUUGGGAAUGCAGUCCAAAAUGGGUGGUAAAUUUCAUCUAAAGCUAAAUAUUGGCGAGAGACCGAUAGCGAACAAGUACCGUGAGGGAAGGAUGAAAAGAACUUUGAAAAGAGAGUUAAACAGUACGUGAAAUUGUCAAAAGGGAAGCGUUUGACACCAGUGUUGUUUUUCUGAAAAUCAAUUAAAGAACUGUUUAUGCUAAGUUGUUUAGACUUUAUCAGCUAACUGCUUAGUUUUGAGCUUUUCUUUAAUGCACUUUUCAGUUAACAAGUCAACAUCAAUUUCUUUUGCUGUAAAAAAGCUUGAGGAAGGUGGCUUGAGAUUCGUCUUAAGUGUUUAUAGCCUCUUGCCUAUGCAGUCGGAGAGAUUGAGGUCUGCAGCGUAGAUCCUUCGGGGCUAAAUGCAUUUGUGCUAAGUUAUAGCAUUUUAUAGACAGCUUGUUGACUAUGAUUUGUCUUGUAGCUUACUCGCUUAUGUUAUUUUACCUACGCUUAGGAUGUUGAGCGCAUGUCUCUCUCU